CCUGCCAUAAGUUUCACACUCUUGCUAUUAUCUAUAUAUCACAAUAAUAUCCUUACAUUAGACAAAGCAAAGCAUUUUAUAGGACUGUUGCCUGUAGUGUCCUUGAGUGUAGACCAAUAAAAUUGCACCAAAGAACAAUUUAGUUAAAGCAAUAAAAGCCAUAAAAAUCCCAAAUUAUAUGAGCUAGGUAACUAUUUUAUGCUCUUAUAGCUUUACUUAGGGGUAUAUUUUUAAAAUCAGUAUCAGUAUUCUCCAUAUUGUAUUCUAGUAUUUUGAAUACAAGUAUUCUGAUUGCUAGUAAUAGGGCCCUAUUUGAAAAAAAAUAAAUUAAUAAAGGCAUUCUAUAAGUAGAGUUCUUUUUAGAAAUCCUACAUAGUUCACUCAUUCUCACACUCCAACUACACCAUAGACUUGAGUCAGCCAGUCAAAAUAUUUUAAUAUAUAAAAGUUUGGAGAAUUAUUGCCAUUCUAAAAAACACAAAUCCAAAUAUUGAAUUAGUUUAACGUAGUUUUGCUGCACCUUUUAAGACUCAGAACACUUUUUUUCCCUUAGGAUACCAAUUAAGAUAUGAGAGACCUCACAGAACACAGAUCAGGAAAGAUUAACAUGAUAUAAUACAGAAUUUUCACACUCUUCAACCAUCAUCCAUCCAUAAUUAUUCACUUUAUGAUAUGGUUUAGAAGUGUAUCCCCUCCAAAUCUCAUGUUGCAACGUAAUCUCCAAUGUUAGAGGUGGAGCCUGGUGUAAGGUAAUUAGGUCAUGGGGGUGGAUUCCUCAUGAAUGGUUUAGUGACAUCCUCUUGAUGAUAGGUGAGCUCUUGCUCAGAUAGUUCAUGUGAGAUCUGGUUGUUUAAAGGAACAUGAAACCCACCCUGCCGCCCCCAGCCCUUGUUCUGCUCUUACUACAUGAUGCGCCUGUUCCUCCUUCACCUUCCACCAUGAUUAGAAGCUUCCCAAAGCCCUCACCAGCAGCAGAUGCCAGCACCAUGCAUCUUGUAUAGCCUGCAGAACCAUGAACCAAAAUAAACCACUUUUUGUCUCACGCGUUCGUGUGAAGAGACCACCAAACAGGCUUCGUGCUCAUAUGUGGAAGGAGUCUCAUGGAGCACACAGGCUCAUGUGUGCUGAGAUGAAACUUUGGACUUUGGACUUUUCAUUGAUGCUGGAAUGAGUUAAGAUUUGGGGAAACUAUUGAGAAGGGAUGAUUGUUCUUUUCACAAUGGAAGAAAAGCAUGAGGUUUGAGGAGCAAGCCAGAGGUAGAAUUAUGUGGUUUAGAUGUCUAUUGCCUCCAAAUCUCAUGUUGAAAUGUAACCCCCAAUGUUGGAGGAGGGUCUUGUGGGAGGUGAUUGGAUUAUGGAGGUGGAUCCUUCAUAAACGGCUUAACAUCCCCUUGGUGGUAAGUGAGUUCUUUCUCAGUUAACUCAUGUGAUAUCUAGUUGUUGAAAAGAGUAUGGAACCUCCCCACACCUCCAUCUCUUGCUCCUGCUCUCAUUAUGUGAUAUGCCUGCUCCUUCUUCUUCUGUCAUGACUGGAAGCUUCCUGAGGCCUCAACAAAAGCAGAUACCAGCAUCACAAUUCCUGUACAGCCAGAAGAAACAUGUGCCAAAAUAAACCACUUUUCCUUAUAAAUUA